rnacentral:rRNA from 1 species
CCCUCAGUACGAGAGGAACAGGGCGUCGUGGCCUCUGGUUUACCGGUUGUCCGACAGGGCAUUGCCGGGCAGCUACGCCAUGCGGGAUAACCGCUGAGUGCAUCUAAGCGGGAAGCCCAUCCCGAAAAUAGGCGACCAUGCCGUCAGGCACGAGGACACCCAUAGAAGAUGGGUUUGAUGGAGCGGAGGUGUAAGAGCCGAGGCGCAAGCCGAGGUUUUCAGCCUGCCGCCCCCAAUAGUCCGAGGGCAGUUAGCU